rnacentral:rRNA from 1 species
GAUGAACGCUAGCGGCAGGCCUAACACAUGCAAGUCGAACGGUAACAGUCUCUUCGGAGAGCUGACGAGUGGCGCACGGGUGCGUAACGCGUAUGCAAUCUGCCUCUAACUGGGGGAUAGCCCGGGGAAACUCGGAUUAAUACCCCAUAAUAUUAAGUUAAUACCUGUUAAUUUAAUUAAAGCUUUGGCGGUUAGAGAUGAGCAUGCGUCCCAUUAGCUAGUUGGUGAGGUAACGGCUCACCAAGGCAACGAUGGGUAGGGGUUCUGAGAGGAUGAUCCCCCACACUGGUACUGAGACACGGACCAGACUCCUACGGGAGGCAGCAGUGAGGAAUAUUGGGCAAUGGACGAAAGUCUGACCCAGCCAUGCCGCGUGCAGGAUGACGGCCCUAUGGGUUGUAAACUGCUUUUAUAUGGGAAGAAACCCCUGAACGUGUUCGGGGCUGACGGUACCAUAAGAAUAAGCAUCGGCUAACUCCGUGCCAGCAGCCGCGGUAAUACGGAGGAUGCAAGCGUUAUCCGGAUUUAUUGGGUUUAAAGGGUCCGUAGGCGGAUUUUUAAGUCAGUGGUGAAAGCCUACAGCUUAACUGUAGAACUGCCGUUGAUACUGGAAGUCUUGAGUAUAGUUGAAGUGGGCGGAAUACGUCAUGUAGCGGUGAAAUGCAUAGAUAUGACGUAGAACACCUAUUGCGAAGGCAGCUCACUAAGCUAUAACUGACGCUGAGGGACGAAAGCGUGGGGAGCAAACAGGAUUAGAUACCCUGGUAGUCCACGCUGUAAACGAUGAUAACUCGCUGUUAGCGAUACACAGUUAGCGGCUAAGCGAAAGCGUUAAGUUAUCCACCUGGGGAGUACGUUCGCAAGAAUG